rnacentral:rRNA from 1 species
UACGGGAGGCAGCAGUGGGGAAUAUUGCACAAUGGGCGCAAGCCUGAUGCAGCCAUGCCGCGUGUGUGAAGAAGGCCUUCGGGUUGUAAAGCACUUUCAGCGGGGAGGAAGGCGGUGAGGUUAAUAACCUCAUCGAUUGACGUUACCCGCAGAAGAAGCACCGGCUAACUCCGUGCCAGCAGCCGCGGUAAUA